rnacentral:rRNA from 1 species
UACAGAGGGGGCAAGCGUUAUUCGGAAUUAUUGGGCGUAAAGAGCUCGUAGGCGGCUCGUUGCGUCGGCUGUGAAAACCCGCAGCUCAACUGUGGGCUUGCAGCUGAUACGGGCGGGCUGGGAUUCGGUAGGGGAGACUGGAAUUCCUGGUGUAGCGGUGAAAUGCGCAGAUAUCAGGAGGAACACCGGUGGCGAAGGCGGGUCUCUGGGCCGAUAUCGACGCUGAGGAGCGAAAGCAUGGGGAGCGAACAGG